rnacentral:rRNA from 1 species
UCCCUUAGUAACGGCGAGCGAACAGGGACGAGCCCAGCGCCGAAUUCCGCGCCCGCAAGGGCGUCUGGAAAAUGUGGCGUUUAGGAGGAAGCGUGCCGGAAGGUGACUCUGCAGCAAGUCCCCCUGACCGGGGCUGUAACCCAGAGCGGGUGCGAGGCCCAUAGCUGCUAGGUCUAAUCCGGAUGCGACCUCUGUGGAGUCGGGUUGCUUGAGAGUGCAACCCCAAUUGGGUGGUAAACUCCAUCUAAGGCUAAAUACGGCCGUGAGACCGAUAGCAAACAAGUACCGUGAGGGAAAGUUGCAAAGAACUUUGAAGAGAGAGUUCAAGAGUACGUGAAACUGCUCAGAGGCAAACGGGUGGGCCCUCGAAAUCCGGUGGCGUGAGGAUUCAGCCCGGAGGGACGAAGGCACGCGCGGUUCCCCUCGCGGUUCCGACGACGGACCGCCCCGCGCGUCACGUGCCUUGUUCCCGCCCGACGCAUUUCCUCUCGCCCGCAAGGACGCCGCAGCCGGUCGGGUUCUCCCACAAGACGGCCUUAAGACGUCUCGACGGCAGGUGGCCGGUGGAGGGGCUCGUCCUCUCCGCCGGUGCUAGCCGGGGCGCUUUCCGGCUCGUCACCCGACCGAGGAAUCGAAGGGUCUCUCUUCGGAGGGACCCGCGCGUCUCCGUCUCUCCCUGGUCGCGGGCCUUCCCGCGGGAGCAGCCGAACGGACCAAGGAGUCUAACAUGUGCGCGAGUCAAUGGGUCUUGAUUAUGCCCAAAGGCGCAAUGAAAGUAAAGACCGGCCCGCGCGGCCGGUCGUGUUGGGACUCCCCCGUCAUCCAAGCGGGGGAAGCACCAACGACCCGUCCCGUCCGGACUCCGGUGGGGCGGAGUCUGAGCGUACACGUUGGGACCCGAAAGAUGGUGAACUAUGCCUGGGCAGGACGAAGCCAGAGGAAACUCUGGUGGAGGUCCGUAGCGGUUCUGACGUGCAAAUCGAUCGUCAGACCCGGGUAUAGGGGCGAAAGACUAAUCGAACCAUCUAGUAGCUGGUUCCCUCCGAAGUUUCCCUCAGGAUAGCUGGCGCUCGGAGAUAAUCAGUCUCAUCCGGUAAAGCGAAUGAUUAGAGGCCUUGGGGCCGAAACGACCUCAACCUAUUCUCAAACUUUAAAUGGGUGAGAAGUCGGGCUUGCGCGACUGAAGCCCCGACGUUCGGAUGAGAGUGCCCAGUGGGCCACUUUUGGUAAGCAGAACUGGCGCUGUGGGAUGAACCAAACGCCGGGUUACGGCGCCCGAUGCGAGACGCUCAUGAGACCCCAUGAAAGGUGUUGGUUGCUAUAGACAGCAGGACGGUGGCCAUGGAAGUCGGAAUCCGCUAAGGAGUGUGUAACAACUCACCUGCCGAAGCAACUAGCCCUGAAAAUGGAUGGCGCUCCAGCGUCGAGCCCAUACCCGGCCGCCGGGGCAGAGCCGAGAAAGUACUCGAGGUUUACGCCCCGGCGAGUAGGAGGGUCGCAGCGGCGAGCGUUGAAGGUGCCGGGCGCGAGCCCGCCUGGAGCCGCCGCUGGUGCAGAUCUUGGUGGUAGUAGCAAAUACUCAAGUGAGAACCUUGAGGACUGAUGUGGAGAAGGGUUCCAUGUGAACAGCAGUUGAACAUGGGUCAGUCGGUCCUAAGGGAUAGGAGAAAUCCGUUCCGAAGCGGGACGUUAAUGCGUGUGCAAGUCCCGCGACUGACCGAAAGGGAAUGGGGUUAAUAUUCCCCAACCCGGACACGGAGAUCGGGCUUUCGAGUCCAAGUGCGGUAACGCAACCGAACUCGGAGACGUCGACGGGAGCCCCGGGGAGAGUUGUCUUUUCUUUGUAAGGGUUCGUGUCCCUGGAAUCGGCUCGUCCGGAGAUAGGGACGCUGUUCCCGUAAAGCACCGCGGCUCUUGCGGUGUCCGGAGCGCUCCUGUCGGCCCUUGAAAACCCGAGGGAGGAAGUGUGAUUUUCGUGCCGGACCGUACCCAUAUCCGCAGC